CAAUAGAGUGGCGUCGUGCCUCAGGAAACUUGGGGCCCCACCAUUGA
rfam:Hepatitis C virus isolate QC176, complete genome